ACGCGCUCGAGCUCCUCGUAGCCGCCCUGGCUGAGGUUGUAGCGCGCCCGCAGCUCCCGCUGCCGCAGCUCCAGCCGCUGCCGCUCCAGCAUCUCCGGCUCCGACUCCAGCGCGUCGAAGACCGCGGCGCCCACCAGCAGUUUCUCUGAUGCGGUUACCCCAUCGGUUGAGCCUGUAGAAUGUCUCUUGGCUUUGGACUUGCUGACACGCUGGCCCCCCUUGCCUGUGAGCUCAUCUCCAGCGGGAGCUCUUUUCCCAGGAGUGCCGUGCCGGACUGCAAGUCGGUGUCUGGGUUUUUGAGGAGGCUAAACUUGCUUUGGGGAAGAUGGUCUUGUGCUUCAGAAGGCACCGCUCGAGCUGACCCCUGAGCUCUGUUAACACAAAGCCAGGACCUGCCUAUCUGUCUUGAAUGUGGAUGAAGGCGUUGCAGGGGAUCAAAAGGUCUUACUGCCGUGUGGAGGAGAAAUAUCCAUGGGAUGGCAGGAGAAAGCCUGAAGGCUGGAGUUUGAGGCGUAAAGGUUCAGUGGUGGACAACGUCCAGUGGAAACAGUCGGAAGAGGAGGUUGCUGAGACCUAGAUUCAGCCAUUCCUGAAGCUUCCUUGAUCUUUGCUUUCUCAUAACCAGCACUGCUUUUCUUCCUGAUUCCAAUUUGUUGUGUUUCUUUCACUUGUAAGUGAGAGAAUUAACAGUAGCAUGUUCUCCCUGGUGUGCUCUUCUCUCGGCUCGGUGUCCUCUGUACAUAUUAUGUCUGAGGUGGUUUGUAGGUCACCUAGUCAACCUGGUCAACCUCUUUUGGAUUAAGAGAAGGCCACACAAAUUCUCUGGGGAAGCCUUUCUAAGGGUUAUACUACAAAAAAGUACCAGAUGGACUCUUCUCUGACGAAAUUUAGCUAUGAGUUUGAUUCCCAGCAGUUAGUGAUGGUGAGGCCUCUGGAGGGGUCCUGGCCAGGGCUAUGUGAUUUGAGGGCCAUGCCUGUCUAUGAAGAAUCAAAAACCUUUAUUAAAAUUUGUUUAAGAGAAAAAAAGACACAGAAAAGGAAACAAAAGGCAAAAGAGACAAACAAACAACAAACUCAAAACAAUAACAGUAUAGGUUAACAAAACAAGAUUUUAGGAAUUUGACAAUGGUUGUAAUAUUGCGUAUUGUUACCUUCAAAAGGGCUGCUUAGAUUAUCAGAUAUAGACGUGGGAAAUUGGUCUAAACAUAUGAGUAUUAACUGUUAUUUUCCAAGAAUUAAUAUAAUUAGUAGUACAGUCAUUUUAGCUAACACACACACACACACACACACACACACACACAGAUUUGUGUCUUUUUCCUUUCCCUUCCUUAGAACAAAGAAUCUUGGCUUGGCUAUGGGAGCUCUGAAGUCAGAUCUGGAGGGAAAGGAGUGUGUCCCUCUUUUAUAGUCCAAAGCAUCCCAGGGUUACCCCAAAAUACAGGUGAACUCACUCCGUCCUCUUAACUGGCUGUUAACGAGCCAAUCCAUAAUUUGCAAGUUGCUUUAAGAAAAGGCAAGAGGAGAAACCAACCACCAGCCUUUCUGGUAAGCUGUACAAGCCACAUGGCCUCCAGGAAGAGAAAAGUCGGUCCUCCCAUGAGCCUGUUGGUGUGGACUGGGAAUCAGAUACCACCGCCCCUCCAAGCAACCCCCUCCAGCAGGCCUGAGCAUCUCCUGGGGGGUGACUGUAAGCAGUAUAGCAAAUAUGGGGGAUUUCCUUCUAUCUUGUCUUUGAAGUCCAAUAUUGUUCUCACCGUUUUGCUUUGCUCUGAUGAAUUGUUUUGCUUUAUUCAAUAUUGUUUUGAUUGGUUUUAUUCUGUUUUGUUUUUGGUUUGAUUUUGCUAAACCUGAUGGAAUGGACAACUAUUGUGAAGAUAACAAGAUGCACUAUGGUAGCUAUUUCUGUUUUCCUAGUAUCCUGCUUUAAAGUUUUGUACCAACUUUGCUGCUUUGUUUUGAUUGGCUCUGUUCUGUUUUGUUUUGUUGGAUUUUACUAUCUUUGAAAUAAAAAUAAAAAAUAAAAGAAAAGGCCAGAGGAAAGGAACAGGGAAAACAGAUUUGCUUUUAUUAUCUGAGUGGAGGUGAGGUGUAAGUGUGUGUGUGUGUGGUGUGCACACAUGUGUGAAGCAAGCAGCAGCAUACUCACCUCCUUCCUGAUCUUCCAAGGAUGUCUACAGUCCCUUGGUUAAGGUGACAUGAGGACCUGUCUUCAGCAGAACACACCAGGACAUAAACUAGAAGAUGGGCUGCCUCCAGGCUCCACGGGGCCUGCGCCGAACCUCAGCAAGUCCUGCUUUGUCUUCCUGUAACUUCCUAGCAAGUCACAAAAUUAAAACCCAGGUGACUUCUGUUUGGGGAACUCCAAGUCUUAUGGCCUUUUGGGGCCACCAUACCUUUUGAUAUACAAGAGCAAAUGGGUGAAGCCCUCAACCCCAAAUAGAGGGAAACUCAGGGCUUCCUGGGAAUUUGCUCUCAAUCCCUUUUUACUCUGAUAUUUUCCCCGUUUUUACCUUCUUCCCUUCCUCCCUGCUUCCUUCUUUCCUUCCCUCUCCUUUCCUCCUGGGGCUGUUUUCUCCUUUUUUGUCUUGUGUCAAAACAAAUGUAAACACAGACCUUUCCCUUGAUUUCCCCAGAGUAGCUCUAACAUAUUUUUUUUCAUAAGUGCAGCUGGGAGAGGUAGUUGCAUUUAGCACCAAAAAGCACCUUAAAGUCACAAAUAUCAGCUGUUCCCUUGCUUAUGUCUCCUCUUCCGCCAGCCAGCUCCCCUCCCCGGGGCCCAGACUUCACCAGCGUCCCCCACCCCUCCGGCUUCCCUUCCCCUUCUCCCGUGGGGGGCUCAGCUCUACCCCUCCUCCGGCUGACUCCAGGCCAACCCUGGCCUCUCAGCAGCCUGCUGAGGACCAGCGUUGAAAUGACUUUCCUUCACCGCAGCGGCAUCCUUCCCUUACCAGCCUCUACAGGCGUGUAAAGAUCCAUCGUCCCUUUGAUAUGAACUAUGUCACCUCCUUAGAGGGCAGAAGUAGGUGGAGUAAUUCUGUUGGCUGUUUAAGCUGGAGCUUUUCUUUCCUGCUGCUCAAGCUUAGCUGCAGCCCAGAGUUGCUGGCAUCGGCCCUUCCUGCCUAGUUUGAUGUGCCCUACUCCAGCUGCUCCACCAUCCCGCUAGUGAGCACACCGGAGUCCCACUCUGCCUCACAGCCAAAGAGCCUUUUAAAAUAACCCAAGCUCUUAUUCCAGGUAUUCUGCCUCCCAAGCUGAAGUACAGCCUUGGGGUUCCUUGAGACAUGCGACCCUCUUCUUUCUCCUCCAGCAAGAUCUUGGAGCCUGCUGAUUGCCUUUGUGUGGCUGAGAGUGUCACAGUACGUGAUUGAGACCCAGGGCCCCUAGGCCCGGUAGGGCCCCUAAGCCUAUCAGGUCCCGGGAACCUUGCAGAGCACCUGUUCAUGGGAAACACUCUAAAAACAUUCACCUGGCUAACCCAGGCACCACCAUGCCCUGGACCCUAGGGAAAAUGGCUCAGACUGGGAUUUGCUUCCCUGGCCUUGCAGAAACUGUAUGCUUUUCAUGCUGGUAUCGGCCCAGGAAGCCUGGGAAGGGUAAGGAGCCCUGUACUGAGAGGUGAGAUCCAAAUCCUGGCUGUUUCUUCCUGAAAGUAACUUCAAGGGGACAGGUAGCCGCGUCCCUGCUUGGGCCUCUGUUAUCUGAAGAACAAAGAGCUAGACUAGAUGAGGCCCAGAAGCUAAGUGAGUCCUGGCAAGGGGUGACCUUACUUAGGGCAGGAGUUCAUCAUGGUGCCUAGAGGUAGAUGCCCGGCAACAGCGGAGGCAGGGCUGACCCUGCUCGGUGGGGGUCAGGACUGUGUGGCUACUGUCCUUGGAGGCCUAGGGUGCUGGAUUCCGAGGAACUGAAGAGGACAGUGUGCCUGUAACGAGUACUGGAGGCGGUCACUCGGGACAGGACUGGGGAGUUGGGCAGGUGCUGUAGAGCUGUAUCUCAGGGCAGUGGAGACCCUGGAGGAGGCUCUCAAAGGCAACCUGCACAAUCUACCUAUAUUCUUAAAAUACCAUGUUCAGCCUGGGGCUGCAUCUCUGCAGUAGAGCAUUGAUCUAGCAUGAAUGAAGCCCUGGAUCCCUGACUCUGAAAAAAAGAAAAAGAAAAACAAGACAAAGAGAAAGAGAAAGCGCUUCUGUGGAGAGCAGACGAGCAGGAGGCUCAAAGGGAACUGGAUGAGGGCGAGAGGGGAGCAGCCUUGUGCUAGGAGGAUGCCGUGGGGAUGAGGAAGCGUGCGUGAGGAGAAGGCACAUUUUGCCGGUAGGACUGAUCACUGUGGCCACCAAUAUGGCGAGUGAAGAUGCUGGACACCUUGGGUCUCCCAGCACCUAGUCAGGGCUGCGUGAACGCAGUCAGCCUCAGAAGGAAGGAUCGUCGGAUCCACUGAGAGCCUGUACAACUUUGCUGCCGGCUUAGAUACUGUCUUAGUUGAGGUAUAAAAUCUCACGUGUUCAGAAGUGGCACUCUUGGCAGGUGGGUGGAUCACAGGGACAAUGCAUCCAUCACUGGAUGGCUGAAUGUGCUGCUAGCCGGUGGGGCUGGUUGGACGAGGUGUGUCGCUGGGGGUGUUUAUUUGGAGGGUACAUCUGUCUUUCUAUCUGUCUUUCUGGCUUCCCCCUUCCCUCUCUGCUUCUUGGCUGCCAUGGGUUGAGCAGUUCUGCUCUCCCAUGCUUUUCCACAAUGCUGUUUCUGCACUGGAGCAACCAACCAUGGACUGAAUCUGCUAAAACUAUAAGCCGAAAUAAGCUUCUCCUCUUUUUAGUCACAAGUAGUAGAUAUUUUGUCCUAGUGACAGGAAAGCAACUAAAACAAAGGUGACUAGGUGGGAACCUCAGGCCUCUCUCCAAGUGAUAUUGAGAGGAGGAAAAAAAUGAGAGGAGCUUGUGACAAUGGCUGGAGCUUCUGCAUGAGACCCACGUGUGACCCACAUGUGAGAAAGUCCUCUAUCUUCUGCACUGGUUUCCCAUUCUCUGUGGUGGUGAGGAAAGCCCCUGCUAAUCAAGCUUCAGAAACCUUGCUUCUAGAUGUGGUUCUGGUUCAGCCUGGCUACUCCAAGUCUCAGAUGGCUUUGGGAUGACUUCAGGGCUCUACCAACCAGGACUGGCUGACAGGUGAUUCCAUCAACUGAGUUUGCUGGGCCUGUGAUGGGUUGGUGCUCUUUGGGGAGAGAGAGAGAGAGACAUGUGGUCCUGUGAAACAGGGAAAGAGAAAGAGCAGCAAAUAGGGGUUUGGUGAGAAAGGGGGGGCCACUUGCUAAAUAAAAUGUAAAUGAAGCCCACAGUGGCUGCCAAGGAGCGAAAAGUGACUGAUGAAAACCUUAUGUCUCUGAGUAAGUGGCCCGAGAAGCCUGCUGUGUGCACGCGGUGAUGGUGUUGCUGUUGGUCUCUAUGCAAUGGAAAAAUCUCCUAUUUUAAAGAAUACAGCGUUAAGAGGCUCUCCGAGACAAACCACGUUUCGCAGUUAACUAGUUUACAAGGUCAGUAACGGAAAGACAAAGUAAGUCAGCUGAAAAUGUCUUGCUCAAUAACAAAAGUUGUUUAAAAGCUCAACGUCACACGCCAAAACUGUAAGAUAGGCUCACUCUGCAGCUGGCUUGUUUUGUUUUUCUUGCUUAAAUACUUCUUCAGGGAUAAAGAAGCACUUAAAAGUACUUUCAGGUACCAGGGUGGCUAUUGCAUUCCCUGAUGUCUGAAAAAUGAAAGCAAUAUUUGUAAAACAUACAAACUUACUGUUACUUUUUCUAAUUUGACCCCGAAGCAAACUAAAACAAAGGCAAACCUCACGACUGCUCGUUCUUAGUCUGCGGCACAGAAUUCUAAUUUCCUCACCCAGCACUCAGUGUGCUGUGCUUCGGACUGGAAUUUUCCCCCAUGGAGUAUGCCCCCUGCCCCUGGCCGCUAUGUCCCGUCUGCAGGAUGGGGCUUGAGGUCAGCUACGUUUCCCUGGAUGCUGUUUCUCCUGGCUAUUUGAGAAAAUGGUAGCUAUUCCUUCUGGGGAGGGUGCUGGGGAUGGAACCCAGGGUCUUAUGCAUGCAUGCCCUUUACUACUGAGCUACAUUCAAGCCUGUAUCCAAAUUCUAUCUAUCCUGCUAAAAUUUCUAUGGAGAUCCAAUUCGCCAUGAAAUGUUCUGUCUUGUCAUCUAUUUUCUUGACCAUAUUAAUCACAGCUAUUUUAAAGUGUGGAUCAGAAAACCCUGAGAUCUGGAUCCCCUGUGGGGCUGUUUCUAUUAUGGAGAUGCUUUUGGGCUCUGACUGAUGUUACCUUUCAUCACAGAGGAUUUAUUUUUGCUUUCCGGAAGGCAGUCAGAGGAGCAGAAGGUCAUCCUAAUCCAGCCUGGGAUUGAGCUGCUUUGCCGCUGGCGGGUAGACUUUAUACCCCUGACCCUCUGCUUGGCUUGCAGUGUGAACUCCAGAUUUGACUCCUAGCCACAGGACGCCUACCAAAAGUCCACUUCAAGUUCUCAGCUGCUUUGCCCCCACCUUCUGCUUUGUGUUUACCUCUUGGUCACCUGCUGCUCCCUAAUCAGCAAAUGCUGGUGGAGGACGGGAAGCACCUUUGAAUGUUAUCUCCAUCUGCCUGCUGCCCUCUGGCUCCCGACCUUUCCAGUCUGAGCCACCUUUAAUCAGGUAGCUUUGGGAUUCUGUUUUGGUUACUCCUGAUUAGAGGACUGGCCUCCAAUGAGUCACCACAAUCCCCCCCCCCCCAAGCCACUCCGUUAGACUGUGAGCUCCCUGAGGGCAGGGAUCUCCCCCGGGUUCUUUCCAUCACCACUGAGGCCUCUAGCCGACCUCCUAGUUUUAAAUGUCACCAGUGCACAGCCUGAACCUCUGUUCUGAGCUGGAUCUGGUCCUUAUUUCCACGUCUGUCACACGGACACCUCAAACUCAAUACAUCCAAAACCUUACUCUUCCAUCCCAAGCUGCGUCUCCCCGCUUUCUGCUGCUUUGGGUCAGAACCUUGUGGACGACCACUGACAAUUUCCGCUACCUCCCCUGCCACAUCCAGUGUCCAAGUGUGGCAGGACUCCACCUUGAGGUGUCACAUGAAGUCAUCCAGUUCCCUCCUUGCAGCCACAGCCACGUCCCCGCCACCGUGCCUGUCCUGCUGGCCGCUCAGUAGUCUCCUCACGGUUCUCCCCUGAGCUCCGUGGCCUUCUUCCAACUGGGGAGAGUGAUCCCUUGAAAACAGAAAUCUGAUUAUGUCAUUUCUCGGUAUCACACCCUCCAGUGCUUCCCAUUGCCUGUAAUGGAAAGCUGGGAAGAGAGAGCCUCAAGGAGCCAUGGGCCCUCAGGGUCUGCGCUGCUGCCUCUGCCCUUCCCUGUCCAGCAGGCACGGCAGGGUUCUCUCGGGGUCCCUUCCCGGAAGCUGGUCUUCUGCCAGGACACACCUCUUCCCUGCGUCUGCCUCUCCGUUGCCCGUUCUUUCAGGCCUAGCGCGAUGUCCCCUCUGCAGAGGAGCUUCUCUGACCUCUGGGUAGAUUACGUAACCCUGUUAGCUCACUGCCACUGUGUCCCCGGCUCUGAUCACAACACAGCCGUGAACGUGUAGUUAACUGAGUGAUUGCGUUUUUGCCCUGCUCUCCUCUCCUUAAGGCCACAGAUUGUGGCUGUCUCAGUUACUGCUCUAUCCCCACGAGCUGCAAAGUACCUAAAAGACCUUAAAAGAGUCCUAAAUGAUGUUUUAAGUAAAUGAAAUAAAAAUCAGACAAGGGGGCAGAUGGUCACCCCCAGGCCCCAGCUUCACUGCAUGGCUGGGGGCGCUCAGCAGAGGGGGAAGCUGGGUCAGGGCUAUUAGUUAGCAAAUGUCUGAGACCAUGACCGUAGAAAUAAGAACUAAACUGCGGUCUAAGGCAGUCUUCCUAUUCCUGAGCAUAAAGCACUGGCUAGGGAGCCCACAGCUCUGGGUUCCAGUCCCAGGACUGACACAAAUCCUGACAAGUAGCUGUUUGCAAAGCAUUUCCACAGACAGGAUCUCAUUAGACAGGCUCUGUGACCUCCAGCAAACAGCUUUUAGAGGCCUGUGGGAGGGGGAAGGCCUCACAGGCAGCUGUGCUGUGCUCUCCCCUGGUCCUGAGGUAAGUCUCUGCUCGGGGCGCCAUCUCUCCUGCCAAAGCAAAGGCUCCAACAAGGUGACCUCUAAGGUUCGUCUCUGAAAUCUUAGAAUUAAAAAUUCACAACUCAUUACAUCAUAAAGCAAGUUGGAGGGGACCCCUUUCUUGUCACAUAGCUUUUCCUCCCUUUCAGCUCAGGUGCCAGGGUAGUGCCACCAGAUGUUCCUAGCACUGUCGGGGUGGCUCCCCAUGGUGCCAUGUGAACACAGACUGUGAGACAAGGCUUUUGUGUGGGAUUUUGAGAGCCAAUGCCAGGAAGGAGAGGCUCAGAAAGAGGCAGGAAAGAGAACAGGCUGGGUGGGCAUGCGGGUGCGCCUGGUCCGCUCUGCCUUCUGAGGCCCUUGACCUUCUGGAUCCGCAGAGCGCCUCCAGAGUCCUCUCCCAGAAGCCCAAGUGAGGAGGUGACUGUCCACCACCUCCCACGCUCACUGAGUGCUCGAGGCAGCACUCACCAGUGGGAGGCGGCUGAGCCCCCGUGGGCCCGUCUACACAGAAUCACACCAGGGUGUGAUGUGGAGGCCAGGAUGUCGGAAGGAAGCUGGAAAAAGGGCAGGGUCACCCCUCUCAGGGCCCAAGGACAUUCCUUCCACACUCCCAUGAACACGCGCCGUUUCAUGAAUGUCAAGGACCCUCACCCUCUUUUCUGGGAAGCUCUUCAAUAUCCGGGCUAUUGAGAACGGGGAGGGAGGAUGCCCAUUAUCUGAGCUCAGUAGAAUCUUGGGAAAGAAGCAGCUCUUUCGGCUGGGACCUGAGUGACAGCCAGGAUGGAAGCUGUGACAGUCUUGCCGCAGCUAGGUUGGGGUGGUUUAUGUUCCCCCCCUUGCACAUGUGUGGGGCACCCCAGAGUUGGUAACUUCUAGGCUUCCAGUGGAGAGAGCCUCGCCAGCCUCCCCCGGGGGCACAGUGCUUUCUCUCUGCCCUUCCUUUAUAAACUCCAGUCUUUGCUUCCCUCAGCCUGGCCCUCUGAUUCUCAAAUGUCUGAUUUAUUAAUAAAAAAAGGAGCCUUGGC